CUUAGACGCACGCACGAACCGGCGAUUCUUUUGGAACUAGAUUUCAAGAAGGCUUACGACCGCGUUAACUGGGAUUUCCUUCGGCAGAUCCUCUCCAGUAGGGGCUUCUCGUCGGUGUGGGUGCACCGAGUCAUGCAAUUGGUCUCGGGGGGCCAAACUGCGGUCUCGGUAAAUGGAGAAGUAGGGAGCUUCUUCAGGAACAAGCGCGGCUUGCGUCAAGGUGACCCCAUGUCACCGCUCUUGUUCAACUUUGUUGCCGACGCACUGGCAGCUAUGCUG
rnacentral:rRNA from 1 species